UACGUAGGGGGCAAGCGUUGUCCGGAAUCAUUGGGCGUAAAGCGCGUGUAGGCGGUCCGGUAAGUCCGCUGUGAAAGUCGGGGGCUCAACCCUCGGAUGCCGGUGGAUACUGUCGGGCUCGAGUCCGGAAGAGGAGUGUGGAAUUCCUGGUGUAGCGGUGAAAUGCGCAGAUAUCAGGAGGAACACCCGUGGCGAAGGCGGCUCUCUGGGACGGUACUGACGCUGAGACGCGAAAGCGUGGGGAGCGAACAGG
rnacentral:rRNA from 1 species